UCCGGUUUGUCACCGGCAGUCUGGUGUGAGUCCCCAACUUAAUGCUGGCAACACACCACGGGGGUUGCGCUCGUUGCGGGACUUAACCCAACAUCUCACGACACGAGCUGACGACAGCCAUGCAGCAUCUGUGUGGCACCCUCGAAGGUCACACGUUUCCGUGCGCUUUCACCCGCUUUAACUAGCAUGUCAAACCCAGGUAAGGUUCUUCGCGUUGCAUCGAAUUAAGCCACAUGCUCCGCUGCUUGUGCGGGCCCCCGUCAAUUCUUUUGAGUUUUAGCCUUGCGGCCGUACUCCCCAGGCGGGACACUUAACGCGUUAACUGCGGCACAGAGGGAUUCGACUCCCCCCACACCUAGUGUUCAUCGUUUACGGCAUGGACUAC
rnacentral:misc_RNA from 1 species